ensembl:lncRNA
CUGGAGUCAGAGCCUGAGAGAUAAUGCAAGACAGAAACAUAACACACUGUACAACUGUCUACGAGGCACAUCUGGAUACAGCAGAAGACUGUAAAAAUCUGCUCCUGCAAAGCUCAAGUGGAUUUCACAGCCAAAACGGGGUCAUUCAGAAACUGCUGCCAGGUCAAGUUUUCACUUUGAACAUUUUCACAGUUAAAGGAGGAUCCAGGACAUCUGUGCAGCACAAAGCACAUGCAGGUCAGCAGCCUCGCUGAAGAUCACAGAGUGAGUCAGUGGCUCUGGAGAGAUCAGAGCCAGGAGCCCACUGUGUGCCAGCUCUUUGUGCUUCCCUCUGGCUUGGAAAUCCUUUCAACCCCAGGUGCUAAAACAAGGUGAAGCAGGACAAAUUCCAGACUGCGGCUUUGGCGGAGGCUUCUGAAGGACUCGGUGGAAAUGCCACCGCAACGCUGUGACACCAGGCAGUGCUCAGCCACGUUUGUGCUCAGGGGUAAGGGGACUUCUGCAUCUGCUGCUCCAUGAUUUGCAAUAGCAUUACAUCCCACUGGUCUGUCACAGCAAAAUCUGACAGCACUGCAGGUUUCUCAAAGACUUAAUAUUUCUACAGUGCACCGUGAAAACUGGCAGCCAGGAGAAGAACACCUGGAAUGAAGAACCCGCUAUAGGAUGAGCCACCCAAGAAAGGGUUGCUGCAAACCAGGGGCUAUGGCUGCACUCACUCAAGCAAAUUAAACAGAGCAGGGGCUCAAGCACCAACAUAGAAUCAUAGAAUGGCUUGGGUUGGAAGGGAUCUUAAAGAUCACUGAGCUCCAACCCCCUGCCAUGGGCAGCAUUGCCACCCCCCCAGAUGAGGCUGCCCAGGGCCCCAUCCAGCCAGGCCUUGGGAGCAUCUAUGGAUGGGGCAUCCACAGCUUCUCUGGGCAGCCUGUGCAAGUGCCACACCAGUGCAGCAUGCGCUUGUCCACACUAUUGCUGACACACUCCUCAUCACUGCUGUCAUAGCAUCUUCUUGUCCUUAGGAUGCAUAUCACACAGGGAGGGAACGUGCCCACACAUAAGACGGGUAACAUUUUUCCUGAUUGGACACUCAACCUGUUAAAAGUGACCUCUGUCUUUUCCCCCAGAUUACAGUGCCUUCAUGCUAACGUUAACUAAAGCUCUAGCCAGCUAUAAGUUUUAAUAUCUGAAAGGACUGGGGAAAAAAAAUGAAGGAAAAGAAUGGGGAUUUUUUUUUAGAGAGCUGUUUUGAUAUGUGUAUGUAUAUAUAUAUAUAUAUAUAUUUAUAUAUAGCCUUUGCCAGAGAGGAUCUUGAUUUGUUAUUGUAGAGCCCCUUGGAAACAACAGCUGACAAAGGAGACAGUAAUUUAUAAGCCCUGAGAUACAUUGAUUAAUUGUGGCCAUUUUGCACAAUGAUACUGGGGUCCUUUAAUGGGAGGUCACUCAAAGGUACAGGGCUGAAGUGAAUAGAUUAUUACAGGAGGGCUGCUGGUUAACAGCGACUGCAGAGCUGUUUGUGAACAGGGGGCUUGGCUGGUAUGAACAGGAUAUUCAUGAGCACGGCACUACAGAAUGGUUCGUUGUUGUGGUCAUGCGCUCUGGGCUGCUAAUAUUCGUGGGUGCACUUGUGUGGGCACGUUCAGUUUAUUUAGAAAAUAAGGGCAUUGAAGCACUUGCUUUCUGAAGGGGGAAAAAAAAAAGCACGGAGUAAGAAUAACUCCAACUGUGCAAAUACUGAAGAGAAAGGAGAACAUCUCAUUCCCUUUCUCACGACUUUUUAAAUGACAAAGCAGAAGAUGUGAAAUGCUGGGCAGAGCCAUUGCCUGGGGUCCCCAGCAAAGGCUGCUAAACCAAUAAUCUUGCUUUUCCUGACCUUGCCGCCUUCUAACAAAUCCUUUCUACUUUAGCAGGAUUUGUUUCAGAGAACUCGGCUGUGUAAUCUGGUACUCUGGUAAUGUCCUCAUUUAACAGAUUGAAGGCCAAAUCCUGCUCAUAGCUGCCCUGGCGCAGUCCCGCUGCUUUUGGUGCGGCUGCUCUGCCUGAGAGCAGAGAGUGACGUUUUCCCAUUAAUCUCAUUCUCCCUUUCUAUUGUGUUUCAUUUUACGGUGCCCUGGAAACCAGGAAACCUGUAUGUCUUCAGCCAUUUGAUGUACAGGAAAUGCAUUCGCUUAACUAAUCUUUUCCCUCAACAGAGAUGGGUUUCUGUUGGAAUUUUUCUUUUUGUUUUGUUUUUUUUUUUCCUCAGAGCUGACCUCACAGUGCUUAUGGAAACUGGUUGCAGUAGAGAGGAAAAAGAUGAAGGUUGGUAACUCAGCAGCCACAUGUAUUACACUCGGUUAGAACUGUUUCUAGGAAGCUCCAGGAACAGAAGUCUGGAGUCCAAACUUUGCCUACGGCCACUCUCCAGCUCCCCUUUCGGCUACAAGAGCAGCCCUUCUGGCUCAUCUAUGGGCUGGAACAGAUGUAGGCAGGAACAAGCUGAAGCCAUCCCGUGCAGGAUGCAUUCAUACCCGGGUGAUCACAGCCAUCCACUCCUGCCCAGUCCUGGAAGCGAAAGUGCUCCCAAGCCUGCUGGAAAAGCAAUGGAGUCCAAGGCACAGAAGGAUUCUGAGGAACCUGUUUCCAAGGAAGGCAUUAGCCCUGCAGGCACUGCAACAGUCACCAGUCAAGUGACCCUGGAAAGGACAUCAUUUCUCAGCAUCUACCAAACCUCUCAAAACUGGAGACAUCUCAGGUCCCCCACACCUAUGUCUAGCUGUAACACACUGGAACAGGUUGCCCAGAGAGGUUGUGGAUGGCCCAUCCCUGGAGGCAUUCAAUGCCAAGCUGGAUGUGGCUUUGGGCAGCCUGGUCUGGUGGCAACCCCAUGGCAGGGGGGUUGAAAUUAGAUGAUCUUUGAGGUCCUUUCCAACGCAGGCCAUUCUACAAUUCUAUGAUCUCCCUUCAAACAUGAAAAAGCUCAUUGAGCACCUUUAACCACACAGCCAACUUUUAGGUGCACAUGGAGGGAUGGGAUGGUGUCUCCAAGCAGAGCUUGUCAGGGUAUAUGAGGUACUACACUGAUUUGGAAGAGGGUGAGCAGAGCCAAGGAUGAAAUGGUGGAAGGAUUCAUCCUACAGGACUGUCAGUGAGGCCCCUCCAACAUCUAGCACCACUGCACUUGAAAUAUGUUCAGAUUUAGGAAGGUUCGAGCAGACUGCUACAGUAAAAGGCUGGAAAAGUUUGCCUGCUCUUUGCAAACCUGAAGCUUUAAGAGGUGGACAAAGUCAGCGUAAAGGAAGAGAUAGAAAGUCAGACAACAUCUGCUAUUCACAGACAUGGGGACCUCAGAAAAAAGCAUCGAGGAUUUGGCAGCAAGUAGUGGAUACAGGCAGAGCUAGAGCAGAGAGAAUAGCUGCAGGAGUCAGUCACCUGGGAAAGCUGCUGCAGUAAACCUUGUAUUGGAUCAGGCAGUCCUGAGGGAUUUCUGCAGGAGGAUUGAGGCGGCUGCUGAAAACACUGGGAAAAGAGUGCAAAUGGGCCAUAAAAAUGAAGGCAAGUGGGAAGCAUGGCUUUUUUUCCCCUCCCUUCGGCUGAAAUUUGUGCACAGGCUUUUUUUUCCACAGAUGAAGUCCUUGUCCUUCUGAGGAAGAAUACAUCACACUGGUAUAUGAAUGACUGCAGAGUCAGUGCCACUGCCAGGAUGCUCAUUUUCUGUGCAGCUUCCUAACGUGACAUUUCAGCACCAUGAAAGGGCUCUCCUGCUGCAAGCAACAAAAAUCCCUGCUCCUCCUCUCAGCUCUUGCAAGUUGCCUGCUCUUCAUGACGCUAUGCUCUCUAAGACUAUCCUGUCAAGAUAGUGCACAUUUCUCUUGAGCCCACAACCAGCAUGUGCCUGUUUUGCACAUGCUGGUUCAUCCCCAGGCUCUCGUUUGAAAUGCAAAAGUUAGCUGUCCUAAAGGAAGCGCAAGGUCUGAGGGCAUCGUUUACACCAGACUUUCUCCAGACAGCAGGAUGGUGACCAAAGGGCCGUGCAUCCCAGCGGAUCAUGAGACCCACUGCUCUGGAGAUGAUCUCCUGGAAUUUCCUUUUGUAGGAGGGCUUGGUUUCCGCGCCCUGUUUCCAUUACUGUCCUCUCGCCAAGCAGUACGCAGUUGGCUGGCAUUUUCCCGAAACCAUUUCGAGCAGUGCCUUCAAAGACGCGACGUCACAUGUGCCAAAGUGUGACUCUGGUCUGAGUGAGUUCCCGUCAGCCUGACGCAUGGGGGGAAUGCUCAAUUGAUUCCUGAUGCAGUUACACGCAUCACAACACAAAGAUGUCACCCACCAGAAUGAGCGCGUUGAGUCACUGCAUUUCCCCAGGCUGCAGAAGUGCAGGAAUCAUAAUCAUUUCCCAGCACAGACCUAUGAGGGUGCUGGCUCCAGCACUUGCAUGCUCCGCUCACCCUCUGGAUGGCUUUUCCAAGCAGUCAGCAUCAACACAAGGGCACAGGCAUGCCUGUCUUUCCCUCCGUCUCUCUCAGCCUAUCAUAG